rnacentral:lncRNA from 1 species
AUGUUGCAGGAACAUGGGCAUGUCCAUGAGAGGGAAAAGGAGCUGAAAAGUAAUGCAGAAGGCAAAAAACAGUUUGUGGAUACUUUUCAACCCCAGGCACUCAGGAGGAGGCUGAGAAGGGAAGGAAAUAAGAAAAGCAGCAUAUCGGAACUGAAGAGAGUAGUGACAUUUUACAGCAGCCGAAGAUCUCCUCCACAGUGUUUGUUGAUGACAUGUGAGAGGUACUGGGAUGAAUCCACUGCUUCUACACAGCAAUACACGUCAGGAACAGCUUUCAGAAUGGUUCUGAUUAUUUUCUCUGCUCCAGAGCACUAA